rnacentral:rRNA from 1 species
GACGAACGCUGGCGGCGUGCCUAAUACAUGCAAGUCGAGCGAGCUUGCCUAGAUGAAUUUGGUGCUUGCACCAGAUGAAACUAGAUACAAGCGAGCGGCGGACGGGUGAGUAACACGUGGGUAACCUGCCCAAGAGACUGGGAUAACACCUGGAAACAGAUGCUAAUACCGGGUAACAACACUAGACGCAUGUCUAGAGUUUAAAAGAUGGUUCUGCUAUCACUCUUGGAUGGACCUGCGGUGCAUUAGCUAGUUGGUAAGGCAACGGCUUACCAAGGCAAUGAUGCAUAGCCGAGUUGAGAGACUGAUCGGCCACAUUGGGACUGAGACACGGCCCAAACUCCUACGGGAGGCAGCAGUAGGGAAUCUUCCACAAUGGACGCAAGUCUGAUAGAGCAACGCCGCGUGAGUGAAGAAGGGUUUCGGCUCGUAAAGCCCUGUUGGUAGUGAAGAAAGAUAGAGGUAGUAACUGGCCUUUAUUUGACGGUAAUUACUUAGAAAGUCACGGCUAACUACGUG